AACAAUUCAUCCUUGUCAUUAAACUGGAAGAGAGAACCAGGAUAGUCUUUUUUAGCAACGGUGUAAACUGGAAUUGAUCCAUCAACAAUGAACUUUAAGUUCAUUUCACCACUUCAAGAGCUUGGGAAUUUAGUAAAUAAAGCUGCAAAAGCAUAGAAACCAUACAAUUGGUAACCACCGGUAUAUUUAAUGUCCACUUCAAAUCGAUAAUUAAAGGGAUUAGCUUUAUCUUGUUUUAUUCCAACACCAUCUA
rnacentral:sRNA from 1 species